rnacentral:rRNA from 1 species
GACGAACGCUGGCGGCGUGCCUAAUACAUGCAAGUAGGACGCAGUUGCGAACGGGUGAGUAACGCGUAGGUAACUACCUAUUAGAGGGGGAUAACUAUUGGAAACGAUAGCUAAUACCGCAUACUAGUAGAUGGACCUGCGUUGUAUUAGCUAGUAGGUAGGGUAAUGGCCUACCUAGGCAACGAUACAUAGCCGACCUGAGAGGGUGGUCGGCACAAAUGGGACUGCGACAAGGCCCAGACUCCUACGGGAGGCAGCAGUAGGGAAUCUUCGGCAAUGGGGGGAGCCCGGAACGAGCAAAGCCGCGUGAGUGAAGAAGGGUUUCGGAUCGGAAAGCUCUGUUGUUAAGGAAGCGGUACUUAACCAGAAAGGGACGGCUAACUACGUGCCAGCCGCCGCGGUAAUAC